UACGUAGGUGGCAAGCGUUAUCCGGAUUUAUUGGGCGUAAAGGGAACGCAGGCGGUCUUUUAAGUCUGAUGUGAAAGCCUUCGGCUUAACCGGAGUAGUGCAUUGGAAACUGGGAGACUUGAGUGCAGAAGAGGAGAGUGGAACUCCAUGUGUAGCGGUGAAAUGCAUAGAUAUUACACAGAACACCGAUUGCGAAGGCAGCUUGCUAGGCCGGAUCUGACACUGAUGCACGAAAGCGUGGGGAUCGAACAGG
rnacentral:rRNA from 1 species